CCCUUCUCAAGAUCACACCUGGAGAGUUUCCAGUACUCUCCCAGUCUCGGGAGGGAGAGUCAAGCAGAAGCAUACCCAUUCCAUUCCUAGCUUGAGCAGUGGCUAGUGAGUGGAAGGCAAUCUGCUACAAGU